UUCCGCGGCGAGAGCGGG
rnacentral:snRNA from 1 species